rnacentral:rRNA from 1 species
AGAGUUUGAUCCUGGCUCAGGACGAACGCUGGCGGCGUGCUUAACACAUGCAAGUCGAACGGUGAAGCCCUUCGGGGUGGAUUAGUGGCGAACGGGUGAGUAACACGUGGGCAAUCUGCCCUUCACUCUGGGACAAGCCCUGGAAACGGGGUCUAAUACCGGAUAACACUCCUGCCUGCAUGGGCGGGGGUUAAAAGCUCCGGCGGUGAAGGAUGAGCCCGCGGCCUAUCAGCUUGUUGGUGAGGUAGUGGCUCACCAAGGCGACGACGGGUAGCCGGCCUGAGAGGGCGACCGGCCACACUGGGACUGAGACACGGCCCAGACUCCUACGGGAGGCAGCAGUGGGGAAUAUUGCACAAUGGGCGAAAGCCUGAUGCAGCGACGCCGCGUGAGGGAUGACGGCCUUCGGGUUGUAAACCUCUUUCAGCAGGGAAGAAGCGAAAGUGACGGUACCUGCAGAAGAAGCGCCGGCUAACUACGUGCCAGCAGCCGCGGUAAUACGUAGGGCGCAAGCGUUGUCCGGAAUUAUUGGGCGUAAAGAGCUCGUAGGCGGCUUGUCACGUCGGGUGUGAAAGCCCGGGGCUUAACCCCGGGUCUGCAUUCGAUACGGGCUAGCUAGAGUGUGGUAGGGGAGAUCGGAAUUCCUGGUGUAGCGGUGAAAUGCGCAGAUAUCAGGAGGAACACCGGUGGCGAAGGCGGAUCCCUGGGCCAUUACUGACGCUGAGGAGCGAAAGCGUGGGGAGCGAACAGGAUUAGAUACCCUGGUAGUCCACGCCGUAAACGGUGGGAACUAGGUGUUGGCGACAUUCCACGUCGUCGGUGCCGCAGCUAACGCAUUAAGUUCCCCGCCUGGGGAGUACGGCCGCAAGGCUAAAACUCAAAGGAAUUGACGG